rnacentral:rRNA from 1 species
GUGGCGAACGGGUGAGUAAUACGUGAGUAACCUGCCCUUGACUCUGGGAUAAGCCUGGGAAACUGGGUCUAAUACUGGAUAUGACCUCCUGUCGCAUGGUGGGGGGUGGAAAGGGUUUGUACUGGUUGUGGAUGGGCUCACGGCCUAUCAGCUUGUUGGUGGGGUAAUGGCCUACCAAGGCGACGACGGGUAGCCGGCCUGAGAGGGUGACCGGCCACACUGGGACUGAGACACGGCCCAGACUCCUACGGGAGGCAGCAGUGGGGAAUAUUGCACAAUGGGCGCAAGCCUGAUGCAGCGACGCCGCGUGAGGGAUGACGGCCUUCGGGUUGUAAACCUCUUUCAGCACGGAAGAAGCGAAAGUGACGGUACGUGCAGAAGAAGCGCCGGCUAACUACGUGCCAGCAGCCGCGGUAAUACGUAGGGCGCAAGCGUUGUCCGGAAUUAUUGGGCGUAAAGAGCUCGUAGGCGGUUUGUCGCGUCUGCUGUGAAAGCCCGGGGCUUAACCCCGGGUGUGCAGUGGGUACGGGCAGACUUGAGUGCAGUAGGGGAGACUGGAACUCCUGGUGUAGCGGUGAAAUGCGCAGAUAUCAGGAAGAACACCGAUGGCGAAGGCAGGUCUCUGGGCUGUUACUGACGCUGAGGAGCGAAAGCAUGGGGAGCGAACAGGAUUAGAUACCCUGGUAGUCCAUGCCGUAAACGUUGGGCACUAGGUGUGGGG